GGUAGCGGGGACCCGCGCUGGGUCUAGUUCCUCCUCUCUGGCUCCUCAGCGGGUAGUCCCGUUUUCCUCCUGCAAGCCCGCCCAGAGGAAGAUUCAGGUACGGGAGCCGCUGCCGCCAAGUCCGGACCCAACACCGCGCGCCGCCGACGCCCGCCUGCUCGACGUGCACUCCCGAUUCCUUUUGCUUCUAAGUCCAAUAU